rnacentral:SRP_RNA from 1 species
GCUGGGCACAGUGGCGCGUGCCUAUAGUCUCAGCUACUCGUGAGGCUGAGACUGGAGGAUCGCUUGAGCCCAGAAAUUCUGGGCUGUAGUGCACUAUGCAGAUCGGGUGCCCGCACUAAGUUCAGCAUCAAUAUGGUGACCUCCCGGGAGCAAGGGAUCACAAGGUUGCCUAAGGAGGGUUGAACCAGCCCAGGUGGGAAACGGAGCAGGUCAAAACUCCCAUGCUAAUCAGUAGUGGGAUUGUGCCACUGCGCUCCAGCCUGGGCAGCUAGCAAGACCCUGUCUCU